UGUACUGUUUACUUUACCCUUCCUGACAGCC
rnacentral:piRNA from 1 species